rnacentral:lncRNA from 1 species
UGAUAACUUCUCUAGUAGCAUUAGCUGGAGGUCGAAUUGAUUCCUCCUGCUUGUCUUUGAAGCUGAAAGUUUCUCUGUGUCUGUGCACAGCUAGGAGGCAAUUCCUGCUCAGAAAGAUGAGGUCCUGUGCCCAGCCCGGGGAUUGGGUUUCAGCCUGAAUCUACACCAUUGCACUCCAGGGCAUUUUCUAAGAGAAGAGGAGGCGCAGGGAAGACUUCAUCGCCCUCUACAACUACCUGAGAGGAGGCUGUGGUGAGGAAAGGAUUCAUCCAUGCAGAAGAGCUCAGAGUGUAUUCUGGAGAUGGGACCUGCUUCCCACCAGUGCCCAUGAGACGCUCGUUCUGUUGGAAGGGAUGAAGGCAAGAAGCCAUCCUCUCCCAGGGACUGACCUACCUUUUCCACAACCCCUUUCAGAAAACAUACCACUGGAUACCCUCCCUUAUCAUAGCUGCUCCAAUCCUGCUUUAAGUUAGGAAUAAUUCUGGCGUGCCUUCCAAAG